GGUCAAGCUAGUAAGGGCACACGGUGGAUGCCUUGGUGUCAGGAGGCGAUGAAGGACGUGGCUAGCUGCGAUAAGCCUCGGGGAGCCGCAAGCAGGCGUUGAUCCGGGGAUUUCCGAAUGGGGAAACCCAAUGGGAGUCACAUCCCAUUAUCCUUAGGCUGAAUACAUAGGCCCUAGGAAGCGAACGCGGGGAACUGAACCAUCUAAGUACCCGUAGGAGUAGAAAUCAAUUGAGAUUCCCUCAGUAGUGGCGAGCGAACGGGGAACAGCCUAAACCGGACCAAUUUGGUUCCGGGGUUGUAGGGCCGUUAAUGUGAGAGUCCGAGUUUUAGCUGAACUGUCUGGAAAGUCAGGCCACAGCGGGUGAUAGCCCCGUAAGCGAAAAGACGGAGACCUCUAUACGGUACCUGAGUACUGCGAGGCUCGAGAAACCUUGCAGGAAUCUGGGAGGACCAUCUUCCAAGGCUAAAUACUACCUGACGACCGAUAGUGGACUAGUACCAUGAGGGAAAGGUGAAAAGAACCCCGGCUAGGGGAGUGAAAAGAUUCUGAAACCGUGUGUCUACAAGCCGUUGGAGCACUAUGAUCUUCGGAUAAUGUGCGACAGCGUACCUUUUGCAUAAUGGGCCUGCGAGUUAUGUUCGGUGGCAAGGUUAAGCCGUUAGGCGUAGCCGUAGCGAAAGCAAGUCUGAAAUGGGCGCCAUAGUCGCCGGCCAUAGACCCGAAACCGGGUGAUCUAUCCAUGGCCAGGAUGAAGCGAGGGUAAUACCUCGUGGAGGUCCGAACUCACUGAAGUUGAAAAUUCAGGGGAUGAGCUGUGGAUCGGAGUGAAAGGCUAAUCAAACUCGGUGAUAGCUGGUUCUCGCCGAAACCUAUUUAGGUAGGUCCUCAGGAAACUCUGUAGUGGAGGUAGAGCACUAGAUGGGCUAGGGGCCUUACCGGGCUACCAAACCCAACGAAACUCCGAAUGCCAUUACAUCUAUCCUGGGAGCCAGGCUACGGGAGCUAAGUUCCGUGGCCGAGAGGGAAAGAGCCCAGAUCGCCAGCUAAGGUCCCUAAAUUCACACUAAGUGGUAAAGGAUGUGGGAACGCUUAGACAACCAGGAGGUUGGCUUAGAAGCAGCCAUCUUUUAAAGAAAGCGUAAUAGCUCACUGGUCAAGCGAGCCUGCGCCGAAAAUGUAACGGGGCUUAAGUGUGGUACCGAAGCUGCGGGUUCGAGAAAUCGAGCGGUAGGCGAGCAUUCCAAGGGCUGAGAAGGUCGACCGUAAGGACGGCUGGAGCGCUUGGAAGAGAUAAUGCAGGCUUGAGUAGCGAUAAAACGGGUGAAAAACCCGUUCGCCGUAAGCCCAAGGGUUCCUGGGUAAAGUUAAUCUUCCCAGGGUUAGUCGGAACCUAAGGCGAGGCUGAAAAGCGUAGCUGAUGGCAAUCAGGUUAAUAUUCCUGAACCGGCGCGGAUGAUUUCUUCAGGAGGGACGGAGAAGGGUAGGCCAGCCACAUAAUGGAUAGUGGUUCAAGCCGGUAGGAGGCUCCCAUAGGACCCGACAGGGACAAACGUGGGGGCGUUAACUCCGAGAGGUGAUGAGGAGAGCGCUUUGCGCUCACGAACUGGUUGAUCCCAUGCUUCCAAGAAAAGCUCCGGAAGAGUUAAUCGCUGUGCUGUCCGUACCGCAAACCAACUCAGGUGGGCGGGAUGAAUAUUCCAAGGCGCUUGAGAGAACCCAUCCUAAGGAACUCGGCAAAAUACUACCGUAACUUCGGGAGAAGGUAGGCCGGCGUCCGUGAAAGGCAUACGCCUGGAGCGGAAGUUGGUUGCAGAGAAUCGGGGGUAGCGACUGUUUACCAAAAACACAGGACUCUGCGAAGUCGGAAGACGACGUAUAGGGUCUGACGCCUGCCCGGUGCUGGAAGGUUAAGGGGAGAUGUCAGAGCAAUCGAAGCAUCGAACCGAAGCCCCAGUAAACGGCGGCCGUAACUAUAACGGUCCUAAGGUAGCGAAAUUCCUUGUCGGGUAAGUUCCGACCUGCACGAAUGGCGUAACGACUUCCCCACUGUCUCGGGAUGGGACUCAGUGAAGUAGCACUAGGGGUGAAGAUACCCUUUACCUGCGGCAAGACGGAAAGACCCCAUGAACCUUUACUGUAGCUUGGCACUGACUUUCGGGCUUAAUUGCGUAGGAUAGGUGGGAGGCUUUGAGACAGGGGUUUCGGCCCUUGUGGAGCCAUUGGUGAAAUACCACCCUGUUAAGUCUGGAAUUCUAACCAUCACCCAUUAUCUGGGUGUGGGACAAUGCCUGGUGGGCAGUUUGACUGGGGCGGUCGCCUCCCAAAAAGUAACGGAGGCGCGCGAAGGUUCCCUCAGACUGAUUGGAAACCAGUCGACGAGUGUAAUGGCACAAGGGAGCUUGACUGCGAGACAAACAAGUCAAGCAGAUGCGAAAGCAGGUCAUAGUGAUCCGGUGGUCCCGCAUGGAAGGGCCAUCGCUCAUCGGAUAAAAGGUACUCUGGGGAUAACAGGCUUAUCACGCCCAAGAGUUCACAUCGACGGCGUGGUUUGGCACCUCGAUGUCGGCUCAUCGCAUCCUGGGGCUGAAGUAGGUCCCAAGGGUUUGGCUGUUCGCCAAUUAAAGCGGUACGCGAGCUGGGUUCAAAACGUCGUGAGACAGUUUGGUCCCUAUCUGCCGUGGGCGCAGGAUUCUUGAGAGGCCCUGCCCGUAGUACGAGAGGACCCGGGUGGACGGACCGCUGGUGAUCCGGUUGUUUCGCCAGAAGCAUCGCCGGGUAGCUAUGUUCGGAACGGAUAACCGCUGAAAGCAUCUAAGCGGGAAGCCGACCUCAAGAUAAGGAAUCCCGGACGCAAGUCCCUAAAGACCCCUCGAAGACGACGAGGUUGAUAGGCCGGGUGUGGAAGCGCUGCAAAGCGCGGAGCUGACCGGUACUAAUUGGUCGUGAGGCUUGACCGC
rnacentral:rRNA from 1 species